CUCCGGUGAUGACUUGCCAUGCUAAUACAGAGGAAGCUCGCCACUGACGAGGUGUGCUUGUCAGGAGCUGUCCCGUGAGUUGACACUUCAGCCUAACUGAGGAGU